GCCACACUGAGGACACGGAGGAAAUUUUUAGAAUUGUUUAAUAUUUAAGUCGGUUAAACUGAUUUAAAAAGAUUUAUAAUUAAAAUAAAAUAUAUUUAGUCAAUAUUAUUGUCACUCUUUCCAUUUUUAUCAGAAGAUUUCUCUCUCUCAUUUUCACAAAAACACGACUACCUCUCCAUCUUAGAUCUGAAACGAAACCCUAGUCUCCCUCCUCACAGCGAAUGAACGAUGUUCUCGCUCACAGCUAACCACGUUCUCCCUCUCAAACCCUAAGUCGUUCUUCCUCUCGGUGAAACGCAAAUUAUCUCCCUCUUAUUCUGCUACGAAAUCGAUUACGGCCAACACGUUCUGCUACCAGGUGAAAUUCGUCCUCCCCUUUCAAGGUUUGUUCAAAUUCUCCCCAUUUUUCAAUGGAUUAUGAUUCUAAUUUCUUUUUGUGUGGUGUGGUUAUAAAUUAUAAUUCGUCCACCCCUUUCUAAUUUCAUAUGUGUCAGUGUGUGUUUGUGUUUUUUAUUUCGUUUAUAAUUUUUACUUCCUUUACUUUCUCCUUGCUUUGAUUAUCCAAUUGGGUUACUUUCUAAUAUGCAAUUAGGUUUGUUUUUUGAAUUAUGUCACUGAAUGAUUUAUGUUUCUAGUUACUAAAAAUGGAAUUUGCUAUUUGUAUAGUUACAAUCAGGUUGUUCUGUUCUUAGUGUCUGCUUCCUGUAACUGUGUUAUAUUUGCAGUCGACACCUAUUUUUGUGAGUGGUAGUGCUGGUUUUGUUUCUUGUUGUGGCUAUAUGGGUUUGAGGAUUUUGUCGUGUCCUUUUUGGCAUGUGUUGUUGGUUUUGAUUUAGAACUUAUGCUGUACAGAUUUAAUCACAAAUAUCGGAGUCACAAGUUUUGUCUUGCUAAGGAAGAUUAUAUACCAUUUUACUUCCUUCAUAAACACCCUUACAUCGUGUCUUUGGGCGAUAUGAGUUGAUUGAAGAUAAGAUGAUGCAAGAUAAAAUAAAGCAAAGACAAAUGUCAGCUGGUGAUUCCCUACCUACACCUCCAUCUCCACCGAAACGCCAUGAGAAGUGGAUAAGGAUUUAAUCUGGAACAAUCUGACCAGAAGAAUAUGUGUUAUAGCAUGCUAACAUAUUAUCUGGACAUUUGUAUUUUAAGUUGAUUUUCAACUUCUUUCAAGAAUUGGAUUUGUUUUGUAGUUUUGAAUUUGGUUUAUUGAUGGUGAUGCUUGCAGCAAAUUGAAUCUUAUAAUGGAGCAAUUGAAGGCACUGAGAUGUUCAUUAAUUAUGACACAGGUACCAUUUUUUUGUACUGCUAUAGUUAUUUAUAUUUUUUUUUAUUGUUCCCUUGAAAUUCUAUUUUUAUCUUGAUGGAUUUAUUUGGUCUGAUUGUGGGUGAACACAGACAUUUAAAAUGACUGAUCACAACUCAUAUUGUUGGUUACAAUGCAUCGACAAUAGAUUUACAUAUAUAUGUUAGGAAGAAAAGGAAGAGAAUUAAAUUCAAAAGUGAGCUGUCUUAUAGCAAUAGGUUGGAUAUUAUAUAUAGAGAGCUAUUAAUGUAACAUUACUCUUGUGCAUCUAGAGACUGUUAGAGUAGUGGAACACAAUGUAGGAUUUUGGGACUGAUUUUGAGACUGAUAUAUGCAUUUAUUAUGCUACUUUGUUGAGUUGAGUUUAUCUUCUUUUUUUUCUUUUCAGAAUUAAAAGGCCUGAGAACAUCCCUGCGGAAAUAUGGAGAGGAUUGAUUCAACCCAGCGAUUUUAGGAAUGGUCUCUCGAAACCAACUUAUGAGUUAACUGUUAAAGGAGGAGACAAAAGUUAAGAAUACAAAUGGAGGGAAUCGAGGCUACAAUAGGAGGAGACAAAAGUUAAGUAUAAUCUUAGUGUAUAAGUAUAAAUUUGUAACAUUAUGGUUUAUAAUUUAUGAUUCUAGGUAUAUGAUAUUAACUCUACUAUUAUGGAAUGAUUUUAAUAUAUAUAAGUAUAAUUUAUGCUAUUAGGUGUAUGGUACUCUAUUAUUAUAGUAUGAUGAUUUUAGUGUAGAAGUAUAAUUUUGUAACUUUAUGUUAUUAAUGGAUGAUUUUGGAUUUUUUGAUUAAAUAAAUUUUGGUGUAUGGUACUCGAGAAACAAUAGUAGAAGAAAGA
rnacentral:lncRNA from 1 species